GAUGAACGCUGGCGGCGUGCCUAAUACAUGCAAGUCGAGCGAACAGACGAGGAGCUUGCUCCUUUGACGUUAGCGGCGGACGGGUGAGUAACACGUGGGUAACCUACCUAUAAGACUGGGAUAACUCCGGGAAACCGGAGCUAAUACCGGAUAAUAUUUCGAACCGCAUGGUUCGAUAGUGAAAGAUGGCUUUGCUAUCACUUAUAGAUGGACCUGCGCCGUAUUAGCUAGUUGGUAAGGUAACGGCUUACCAAGGCAACGAUACGUAGCCGACCUGAGAGGGUGAUCGGCCACACUGGAACUGAGACACGGUCCAGACUCCUACGGGAGGCAGCAGUAGGGAAUCUUCCGCAAUGGGCGAAAGCCUGACGGAGCAACGCCGCGUGAGUGAUGAAGGUCUUCGGAUCGUAAAACUCUGUUAUUAGGGAAGAACAAACGUGUAAGUAACUGUGCACGUCUUGACGGUACCUAAUCAGAAAGCCACGGCUAACUACGUG
rnacentral:rRNA from 1 species